UACGGAAUGUGCAAACGUUAUUCGGAAUCACUGGGCUUAAAGAGUCCGUAGGCGGCAUGUUAGGUGAGGUGUGAAAUCCCCCGGCUCAACUGAGGAACUGCACGGGAUACUGCGAGACUUGAGUUCGGGAGAGGGAAGCGGAAUUCCGGGUGUAGCGGUGAAAUGCGUAGAUAUCCGGAGGAACACCGGUGGCGAAGGCGGCUUCCUGGACCGAUUACUGACGCUGAGGCGCGAAAGCUAGGGGAGCAAACGGG
rnacentral:rRNA from 1 species